UAUUAGAUAUAAGUUGCUACCAACUGUGCUGCACAUAAGUUCACUGGUUAUCAGCUGCCUUUCAUGUUAAAAGUAGCCAGAGUGAGUAAACAGGCGAAUGCUGCAGUUUUCUGGCGACUUUAGAAAGUACCUCGUGGAGCUAAACUGUUAGCCUUCAUUAGCUCUAGUUGUUAUCAACUGCCUGAAAGUUCAUCUCAAUCUGCUCCCAGAAGUAAGAGCCCUGCAUGUUCCGACCGAGAGACACCAUACCAUUGUCUUCGGCCGUGAUGCACUGACAUCGGUCAGGUUUUUUUGUAUGCUGAAUUGUUCCUGAGGUGGAUUCCUCCGGUGAAAUAGAUGGCGAGCCUUCCCACCUGGACUUAGAGAGACUGAGAUUCGCUUCUUUUCCACUAGAUGAUCUGCUGUACCUUGCGGUGUGGUAGGACUGUAUCACUGACACUUUCACACACAGCUGGUUAUACAUGAGACCACUGACUGACAUUCUCUCACCCCUAUUUUCUUUCACACCCUGGGAAUUUUUGGGACUAUACCCCUUGGACAUUUUUUAUUUGGGACUUUGUUCUACACAACAGCUUAUUAUUCAUUCUCCACAUGUGAAAAGUGUGAGAUUUUCAUUUGAAUGUACAUUGGAGUUGUGUAAUCUGUUUCUAUAAAAGUUAAGGAGUCAGGUUACUAGGGUGCACCCAGCAUUGAAACCCGAGCAUUGAAACCCAACAUUGAAAACCAAAAGUAACACUUGGCCAAGUCAUUGUUUUAGUGGUUUAUGUGUUUUACUUUUCUUUCAUUUUUGUAAGUUUCCUUUAUACCAUUGUAAAGUGUCUUUAA